rnacentral:rRNA from 1 species
CUUGAACGCUGGCGGCAGGCCUAACACAUGCAAGUCGCGCGAGCGGCGGACGGGUGAGUAAUGUCUGGGAAACUGCCUGAUGGAGGGGGAUAACUACUGGAAACGGUAGCUAAUACCGCAUACCAUCAGAUGUUCCCAGAUGGGCUUAGCUAGUAGGUGGGGUAACGGCUCACCUAGGCGACGAUCCCUAGCUGGUCUGAGAGGAUGACCAGCAACACUGGAACUGAGGCACGGGCAAGACUCUUACGUGAGGCAGCAGGGGGGAAUAUUGCACAAUGGGCGCAAGCCUGAUGCAGCCAUGCAGCGUGUGUGAAGAAGGCCUUCGGGUUGUAAAGCACUUACAGCGGGGAGGCGUUACCCGCAGAAGAAGCACCGGCUAACUCCGUGCCAGCAGCCGCGGUAAUUC